rnacentral:rRNA from 1 species
AGUGAUUGAGUUUGAUCAUGGCUCAGAUUGAACGCUGGCGGCAUGCCUUACACAUGCAAGUCGAACGGUAACAGCACUUCGGUGGCUGACGAGUGGCGAACGGGUGAGUAAUACAUCGGAACGUGCCCGAGAGUGGGGGAUAACGCAGCGAAAGCUGUGCUAAUACCGCAUACGAUCUACGGAUGAAAGCAGGGGACCGCAAGGCCUUGCGCUCAUGGAGCGGCCGAUGGCAGAUUAGGUAGUUGGUGGGGUAAAAGCUUACCAAGCCGACGAUCUGUAGCUGGUCUGAGAGGACGACCAGCCACACUGGGACUGAGACACGGCCCAGACUCCUACGGGASKCAGCAGUGSGGAAUUUUGGACAAUGGGCGAAAGCCUGAUCCAGCCAUGCCGCGUGCAGGAUGAAGGCCUUCGGGUUGUAAACUGCUUUUGUACGGAACGAAAAGGUCUUUUCUAAUAAAGAAGGCUCAUGACGGUACCGUAAGAAUAAGCACCGGCUAACUACGUGCCAGCAGCCGCGGUAAUACGUAGGGUGCAAGCGUUAAUCGGAAUUACUGGGCGUAAAGCGUGCGCAGGCGGUUAUAUAAGACAGAUGUGAAAUCCCCGGGCUCAACCUGGGAACUGCAUUA